CCUACGGGAGGCAGCAGUGGGGAAUAUUGGGCAAUGGGAGGAAACUCUGACCCAGCGACGCCGCGUGCGGGAUGAAGGCCUUCGGGUUGUAAACCGCUUUCAGUAGGGUAAGAAGCGAAAGUGACGGUACCUACAAAAGAAGCACCGGCUAACUAUGUGCCAGCAGCCGCGGUAAUACAUAGGGUGCAAGCGUUGUCCGGAAUUAUUGGGCGUAAAGGGCUCGUAGGUCGUUUGUUACGUCGGAUGUGAAAACCUGAGGCUCAACCUCAGGCCUGCAUUCGAUACGGGCAAACUAGAGUUUGGUAGGGAGACUGGAAUUCCUGGUGUAGCGGUGGAAUGCGCAGAUAUCAGGAGGAACACCAAUGGCGAAGGCAGGUCUCUGGGCCAAGUACUGACACUGAGGAGCGAAAGUCUGGGGAGCGAACAGGAUUAGAUACCCUGGUAGUCCAGACCGUAAACGGUGGGCACUAGUUGUGGGAACCUUCCACGGUUUCUGCGACGCAGCUAACGCAUUAAGUGCCCCGCCUGGGGAUACGAUCGCAAGGNUUAAAACUCAAAGGAAUUGAACGGCNGAGAGNGCGAGACGACGACGAGGAGAG
rnacentral:rRNA from 1 species